rnacentral:rRNA from 1 species
AGAGUUUGAUCCUGGCUCAGAAUGAACGCUGGCGGCAUGGAUUAGGCAUGCAAGUCGAACGAGAUCUUCGGAUCUAGUGGCGAAAGGGUGAGUAACGCGUGAGCAAGCUGCCUCGAGGCUGGGGAUAGCCCCGGGAAACCGGGAUUAAUACCGAAUGUCCUCCUGAUCCGCAUGGUGAAGGAAGGAAAGAAUUUCGCCUUGAGAUGUGCUCGCGUCCUGUCAGCUUGUUGGUGAGGUAAUGGCUCACCAAGGCGACGACAGGUAGCUGGUCUGAGAGGAUGGUCAGCCACACUGGGACUGAGACACUGCCCAGACUCCUACGGGAGGCUGCAGUCGAGAAUCUUCCGCAAUGCGCGAAAGCGUGACGGAGCAAUGCCGCGUGCGGGAUGAAGGCCUUCGGGUCGUAAACCGCUGUCACUCGGGAUGAAGCAUGACAGUACCGAGAGAGGAAGCCACGGCUAACUACGUGCCAGCAGCCGCGGUAAGACGUAGGUGGCGAGCGUUAUUCGGAUUUAUUGGGCGUAAAGGGUCCGCAGGGGGUUUGUUAAGUCUGGUGUGAAAGCCCACGGCUCAACCGUGGAACGGCACUGGAUACUGGCAGACUAGAGGACUGGAGAGGAGAGUGGAAUUCUCGGUGUAGCGGUGGAAUGCGUAGAUAUCGGGAAGAACGCCGAAGGCGAAGGCAGCUCUCUGGACAGUUUCUGACCCUCAUGGACGAAAGCCGGGGGAGCGAACAGGAUUAGAUACCCUGGUAGUCCCGGCCGUAAACGUUGUAGACUCGGUGUAGGCGGUUUUGGUCCCGUCUGUGCCUUAGCUAACGCGAUAAGUCUACCGCCUGGGGAGUACGGCGGCAACGCUAAAACUCAAAGGAAUUGACGGGGGCCCGCACAAGCGGUGGAGCAUGUGGCUUAAUUCGAUCCACGCGAAGAACCUUACCUGGGCUUGACAUGCAGUGGAUCGCCGGCGAAAGUCGGUUUCUCUUCGGAGCUGCUGCACAGAUGCUGCAUGGCUGUCGUCAGCUCGUGUCGUGAGAUGUUCGGUUAAGUCCGGCAACGAGCGCAACCCUUGUCACCAGUUGCCAGCAAGUAAAGUUGGGGACUCUGGUGAGACUGCCCGUGUUAAGCGGGAGGAAGGUGAGGAUGACGUCAAGUCAGUAUGGCUUUUACGCCCAGGGCUGCACACGUGCUACAAUGGUUGGUACAAUGGGACGCAAUACCGCGAGGUGGAGCAAAUCCUUAAAGCCAACCCCAGUUCGGAUUGGAGUCUGCAACUCGACUCCAUGAAGUCGGAAUCGCUAGUAAAGGCGUAUCAGCUACGACGCCUUGAAUACGUUCCCGGGCCUUGUACACACCGCCCGUCACAUCAUGGAAGUUGGUUGUUCCCGAAGUCAGUGACCCAACCCGCAAGGGAGGGAGCUGCCGAAGGAAUGCCCAGUAACUAGGAUGAAGUCGAAACAAGGUA